GGAGGGUGCGAGCGUUGUCCGGAAUCACUGGGCGUAAAGGGCGCGUAGGCGGCCUGAUAAGUAGGGGGUGAAAUCUUGCGGCUUAACCGCAAGGCUGCCUUCUAAACUGUCAGGCUAGAGCACAGUAGAGGCAGGUGGAAUUCCCGGUGUAGCGGUGGAAUGCGUAGAGAUCGGGAAGAACAUCAGUGGCGAAGGCGGCCUGCUGGGCUGUUGCUGACGCUGAGGCGCGACAGCGUGGGGAGCAAACAGGAUUAGAUACCCUGGUAGUCCACGCCGUAAACGAUGGGCACUAGGCGUCGGGGGGAGCGACCCUCCCGGUGCCGUCGCUAACGCAGUAAGUGCCCCGCCUGGGGAGUACGGCCGCAAGG
rnacentral:rRNA from 1 species